CUCCAUUUACAAAUGUGGUUUAUUUCCUGUAAUAAUCAGAGACAGACAACUGCUUACCGCAUGUGUUUUUAAAAGGCCUCAAGUCCACUUGGCUCUGCAGAAGGCUAAUGCUUUAUUGAAUAGGUCUCUUAAUGGGCUGCACAACUCGGUCAUUGGAUCCUGUUCUACACAAUGCUAAAGUGGCAUUACCAAAGAAGAAAAUUAUAGACACUGACACCGAAAUCGCUGAUGAAUAAACUGUUUUUUUUAAAUUGCACCUACCUUAUCUUGAUAAUUUUUAAAAUGUGUUUCAUACUUUGAAUACAGAGAACAGCUCCAAGCCAAGCAUUGGGUUUCCUGGGGCACCGAACAUCUAAACCGUUUCGAGCUCGCUAGAGCUGCUCCGCAAAUUACAGUCUCU